ACGAACGCUGGCGGCGCGCUUAACACAUGCAAGUCGAGCGAGAACCAACCCUUCGGGGUUGGGGACAGCGGCGAACGGGUGAGUAACACGUGAGUAAUCCACCCUUGGUACCGGGAUAGCUCGGGGAAACUCGAAUUAAUACCGGAUAGCCCAUCAGCCUUUCGGGGCGAAUGGAAAAGGUAGCUUCGGCCUCCGACCAAGGACGAGCUCGCGGCGGAUUAGCUUGUUGGCGGGGUAAUGGCCCACCAAGGCGACGAUCCGUAGCUGGUCUGAGAGGACGAUCAGCCACACUGGGACUGAGACACGGCCCAGACUCCUACGGGAGGCAGCAGUGGGGAAUCUUGCGCAAUGGGCGAAAGCCUGACGCAGCGACGCCGCGUGAGGGAAGAAGGGCCUUCGGGUUG
rnacentral:rRNA from 1 species